GGUGCAUGUCAUCUUUGCAGUUUGUUCUUGCUGAUAAACACAUACUCUCCAUCUCUUCAUUGUAAAUUUACCAACUCGCUUUUAAUAAUCUACUCAUUUCUAUGUGUUACUGUGAAUGAAGUGAAGAAAGUGUCAGCACUGGAGGGAGAAGAUGUUACCCUAAAGACCAAUGAAGAAAUACAGAAAAAUGAUCAGAUACUGUGGAUAUUUGGAGAUGAAAAUGCUCUCAUGGCGGAAAUCAAAGGAGGGACCGGAGAGAUCACUACAUAUGAUGGUGCCGAUGGGACAUUCAGAGACAGACUGAAGAUGGACAAGAAGACUGGAUCUCUGACCAUCACAAACAUCACAGCUGAACAUUCUGGACUUUAUAAACUGAAGACCACAAUCAAGAGAUUGUUCAUUUCUGUCAGAGGUUUUUGAGUCCUGAAGCAGAGGAAGUCUUUCAGGAACUGACUGAUGUUUUGGGUAAAAACCUGUUCCUCCUGAGAGAGCUGAAUCUGAAUGAAUGUAAACUGGGAUACUCAGGAUUGAAGAAACUUGUUCCUGUACUGGAAGAUAAACACUGUAAACUCAACACAAUGAUUCUGAAUAACUCCUGUAUAACAGAAGAAGAUUGUCGUGCUUUAACUGCAGCUUUCAAUUUAAAUCCUUCAAAUCUGAAAGAGCUGGAUCUAAGUCGGAGUAAUCUCAAAGACUCAGGGAUGAAGAUCAUCUCGUCUCUGUUUUCAAAUGUAAAAUGCAGACUGGUAAAGCUGAAGUAGGUAAAUACAAAUGUGUAAUACAAAGGCACAGGAUUGAAUGUGUUCCAAAUUGUUAUGCAAAUGACAUAUCAGUAGGAUUUCGGUACAAUAAACACUCAGAUUUAUGUUUAUUUUAUUGCUUAAAUGUUUUAAGAUAACUGGCAGACAGGUUUAUUCAAUAUAGUU